rnacentral:lncRNA from 1 species
AAUCAAAGCGCUGUAAGCGCUGAAGGCAGUUAACCAAAAACCAAGUUCUCAAACAUGUAGGGGUAGGCAGAGGAUUUAGGGGGUGCGCCCCCCCCUUUUUGGGAAAAAAAUAGUUGCUUAUAUAGGGAAUCACUGAAGCGUGACUGGAGCGGGUCCCCUCUUAGGAUGGUCAGUGGGCCCCCACUUAUGAGAAUUUCUGGAUCCGCUACUGGGGGUAGGGUGACCCUAGGGACUUCCCCUACAUUUCAUUUUAUUUGUUAUAUUGUCCCAUACAUGAAUAUAUAUGGUUUAGGGGGGGAUCUCAUUGGUUUCUAAGUUCUCAAACAGGAGGGGUAGGGUGACCCCAGGGACUCCCCCUUUAUUUCAUUUAAUUAGUUAUAUUGGCCCAUACAUGAAUAUAUAUUGUUUUGGGGUGGGGAUCUCGACCGUUUCCAAGUUCUCAAACAGGAGGGUUGGGGUGAUCACAGGGACUUCCCCUAUAUUUCAUUUGAUUUGUUAUAUUGUCCCAUACAUGAGUAUAUAUGGUUUAGGGGUGAGGAUCUUGACCAUUUCCAGGUUCUCAAACAGGAGGGUGUACAGUGACCCCAGGGACUCCCCCUAUCUUUCAUUUGAAUUGUUAUAUUGUCCCGUACAUGAAUAUAUAUGGUUAAGGGUUGGGGAUCUCAACGGGUUUCAAAUUCUCAAACAGUAGGGGUGGGGUGACCCAAGGGACUCCCUCUAUAUUUAAUCUGAUUUGUUAUAUUGUCCCAUACAUGAAUAUAUAUGGUUUAAGGUUGGGGAUCUCGAUCAUUUUUAAAUUCUAAAACAGGAGGGUUGGGGUGACCCCCAGCGACUCUUCCUAUAUUUCAUUUGAUUUUUCAUAUUGUCACAAACAUGAAUAUAUAUGGUUAAAGGGUGUGGAUCUUGACCGUUUCCAAGUUCUGAAACAGGAGGCGGGG